AAGCUCAUUAGGGAGACCAGACAGUAUAGACAGUUCCGUAAACCACUAUUAGGGAGACCAGACAGUAUAUGCAGUUGUAUACCAGCAUUAUGGAGACCAGACUGUAUAUACAGUUGUAUACCUGCAUUAAGGACCAGACAGUAUAGGUAGUUGUAUACCAGAAUUAGGGAGACUAGACAGUAUAUAUAGUUGUAUACCAGCAUUAGGGAGACCAAGUCAGUAUAUGCAGUUGUAUACCAGCA